UGGGGAAUAUUGCACAAUGGGCGCAAGCCUGAUGCAGCCAUGCCGCGUGUAUGAAGAAGGCCUUCGGGUUGUAAAGUACUUUCAGCGGGGAGGAAGGGAGUAAAGUUAAUACCUUUGCUCAUUGACGUUACCCGCAGAAGAAGCACCGGCUAACUCCGUGCCAGCAGCCGCGGUAAUACGGAGGGUGCAAGCGUUAAUCGGAAUUACUGGGCGUAAAGCGCACGCAGGCGGUUUGUUUAGUCAGAUGUGAAAUCCUCGGGCUCAACCUGGGAACUGAAUCUGAUACUGGCAAGCUUGAGUCUCGUAGAGGGGGGUAGAAUUCCAGGUGUAGCGGUGAAAUGCGUAGAGAUCUGGAGGAAUACCGGUGGCGAAGGCGGCCCCCUGGACGAAGACUGACGCUCAGGUGCGAAAGCGUGGGGAGCAAACAGG
rnacentral:rRNA from 1 species